rnacentral:rRNA from 2 species
UGGGGGAUAUUGCACAAUGGGGGAAACCCUGAUGCAGCGACGCCGCGUGAGGGAAGAAGGUUUUCGGAUUGUAAACCUCUGUCUUCAGGGACGAUAAUGACGGUACCUGAGGAGGAAGCCACGGCUAACUACGUGCCAGCAGCCGCGGUAAUACGUAGGUGGCAAGCGUUGUCCGGAAUUACUGGGUGUAAAGGGAGCGUAGGCGGGUAUGCAAGUUGAAUGUGAAAUCUAUCGGCUCAACCGAUAGGCUGCGUUCAAAACUGUAUAUCUUGAGUGAAGUAGAGGUAGGCGGAAUUCCUGGUGUAGCGGUGAAAUGCGGAGAUAUCAGGAGGAACACCGGUGGCGAAGGCGGCCUACUGGGCUUUUACUGACGCUGAGGCUCGAAAGCAUGGGUAGCAAACAGG